rnacentral:rRNA from 1 species
AUUCCUACGGGAGGCAGCAGUGGGGAAUUUUGGACAAUGGGCGCAAGCCUGAUCCAGCCAUGCCGCGUGCGGGAAGAAGGCCUUCGGGUUGUAAACCGCUUUUGUCAGGGAAGAAAUCUUCUGGGUUAAUACCUCGGGAGGAUGACGGUACCUGAAGAAUAAGCACCGGCUAACUACGUGCCAGCAGCCGCGGUAAUACGUAGGGUGCGAGCGUUAAUCGGAAUUACUGGGCGUAAAGCGUGCGCAGGCGGUCUUGCAAGACAGGUGUGAAAUCCCCGGGCUUAACCUGGGAACUGCACUUGUGACUGCAAGGCUGGAGUACGGCAGAGGGGGAUGGAAUUCCGCGUGUAGCAGUGAAAUGCGUAGAUAUGCGGAGGAACACCGAUGGCGAAGGCAAUCCCCUGGGCCUGUACUGACGCUCAUGCACGAAAGCGUGGGGAGCAAACAGGAUUAGAUACCCUGGUAGUCCACGCCCUAAACGAUGUCAACUGGUUGUUGGACGGCUUGCUGUUCAGUAACGAAGCUAACGCGUGAAGUUGACCGCCUGGGGAGUACGGCCGCAAGGUUGAAACUCAAAUGAAUUGACGGA